CCAUACAUGGGGCCAGGUUAUUUUAGCCCCUUUUUAAAGUUUUCAAUCUGACUAGUCAUGUAAGCUGUGAUCCUUAUUGUAGUAGAUUACAUGUGUGAAAUGUGAUAAGCAAAAGUGUGACUGCUAUGUACAUGGUAUCUAUGUGAUGUCACUUUAUAUGUAUACAGCAAAAACUAUGAUGUGAUAACAAGUUCUCUUGAAAAUGUUUCAAUUCUAAUUCAAUUUUAUGAUCAGUUACGAUAAAUGAUCUAAAUUACAAACAUAUUUUCUCAUAUCAAACAUAUUUUCUAUAUGAGAAAAUUGGUUUCAAUACAUGAAAGAUUCAACAUGUAGGAACAUAGCCAUGGAUAAAUAAAAAAGGAAAUGACUUAAAGCACCAUUUGCAAGGAUUUGUCUUACUAUACAAAUCCCUGCGAUUUGCAAGAAAAUAAUUUAUACAUACUUUAGACUCGGCUGAUAAUAUAAAAGAAUAUUGUGUAAGGCAUGUAUUGAUUGUUUGUUAAGUAUAAUGUGUAUUUAUAUGUAUGAUAUUCAUAUUUAUUGUGUGUGAAUGGUAUAUGCUAAAAGUAAUGUUUUAUGCUAUUUGUGCUACCUGCAGGUGCUGUCUCUGUUGUGUAAUAGUGUGCUAGACCUACAGUGCUGUUAGUGCUUUGAUCAAAAUUUGGGAAACUGAAAUAUGUUUCUUUGUGUUUGUUCUAUUGUUAAAUAUGUUAAAUGAUUGUAAAUUUUAGAAUGAAAGCCAAACUGAUGUGAUAUAAGCUGUUUGAAUGUUGUUUUGUUGUCUAAUUUUUAAGGAUAAAAUGUAAAAGUUAACAGUAAUUUUAAAUUCAUUUGAUUUUACAGUUUACCUACA
rnacentral:lncRNA from 1 species